UGUGUCUGGUUUUGGCUGUGGCUUCACUGAAAGGAAGGAUGUAGUCGUUUAUUAUAGAGGCUGUGUGGUCGUUCUUGUAUGUUGCUGAUUUUGUCAUUAUUUUUAGAGGCUGCUGUGUUUUAGCCACUGGUCAUUUCAUCAGGUUUUAUUGUUUAGUUGCUCAUUUUAUUCUUUGUGUUUGGGUCUGAACGCAGACAUGAGGCCGACCAGCAGGUUUUCAUGACCUGGUACAGUGGCUUCCACUCAGUAGAACGGAACAGAGUGAUGUCACAUCUGACUGGGCAUCAACAAAGAAAUGAUAAAUAUACACAUUUACAUUGACAGAAUCAAACACAUAUGUAAUAUUGCAUUUACUAAACCUUAAAUGUAUUCAUUCUCCUUCAUCAACUCUAACUUCAUGGCGAAUGGAACCUACCAUUAAGAACACAUAAGGUAAAUGACUUUUAUACUACUGCAUAUAAUAAACUAGACGAUGCUGUAAAUGUAGAGGCCUCACUGAGUCUGUUAAUAUGAACCUGUGUUUAAUGCACAGCAGCUCUUCAUCACUGAGACAAACUGAGACUAACCACAGUCAGUAAGCAUCAUUCAAUAAAUAACAAUAUUAUAAAACUAAUAUGGAUGUUUGACCAAGAAUGGCAGAAUUUAUAACCUUUGCAUGACUAUAAUAACAAUAAAUUUGCUUUCAGCUUGUGAGUCACAGAAGGCGUAAAAGACAUAAAUAGAAUGGUUCUGAUGUCUUUCACCUCUGCCAAUAGCUGUGGUUUUACUGAGAACAAGAAGCUCAAACUGUCAGUUCAUGUGUUCAGAUCAUUCUUUGCUUCUUCGGUGGAAUCUGGAUAGUUUUAUUUUGCAGCUUCAUCAUGUUUAAACACUUGUUUCUCAUCAUGUGUAAGUUGAAGUUCCUUCAUAUGUCAUUUAAAUCUUUACAGUGUUGGUCUGUAGUUCAAUUUAGUUUAAUUUAAUUUAUAAUCUGGCCCGAAGGUCUGCUGAUUGUUUUAUCUCUUUGGUCUUGAUUAAAGUUAAAAUGUGAGUUAUUAAAUCUACAAUAUUUAUCUUCUUCACACUUGUUUUUUCAUGUUUAACAGAUUGCCUUUAUCAGAUUCAAGUACAAGCUCUUCCUUCAGCUAAUCUAAUAGCGAAAAAACACACGAUCACAGAGUCAGACUCAGUUACGCUGCAUUGUCAGACUCCGUCAUCUAUUGCUGUGGAUCAGUGUUAUUUCUAUACUGAUCGAGGACAAACUCCUAAAAACCUCCCCUGCCUGCAGACACUGACAGGAACUGAUCUACUGUCUAUGUCAUGGCAGCGUCCACCUGCUAAUGUUGAAGUCAAGUGUUUUUAUACUGUAAAGUAUAAAGACACACGUUCUCCGUCUCCACACAGUGACUCAGUCUCCAUCACUGUACACAGUCAAAAACCACAGAUGAGCUGUUCUGAUUUGGGUGACCACGUUGUUUUUUCUUGCUUUUUGCCUGAAUCUGUUGAACAUGGUACAAAAUGUAACUUGUACAUUGGAGAAGCAGAUCAUCCAGUCUCAACAACACCCAUCAUGAAGAAAACCACCUCAAGAAUACAGCAGUUGUGUCAGUUUUAUAUCACGAGAGACGUUUUGCUGAAACUCCUACAAUUAGUUCAGCUAAAGGAGGCCAGCUGUGAUUACAGCCUGGAACAUGAACCCAACUUUGCUUCUGCUCGUAGUGAUGGAUGCAGCUUGACUGGUAAGUCAGAGAAGACAAGUAUAUACAUAUUAAAUGACUUAACAGUGUCUAACGUGACCUGAAUGGUUAUUAUGUUUACUGUACAUUGACAAAGUCAUGGUGAUGCUCUAUUACUAGUGCUCGUGGCUGUGCAUCAUCGCCACUUUUCAGGUUUUUCUAUUUAACCCUCAG